UAUAUAUAUAUAUAUAUAUAUAUAUCAAUCUCAAAUUGGAGCUCAAUAACUAAAAUGUCAUAUCGUAAAACCACAUUCAUAAGUAGGUAUAUAGUCAUCAAUCAUAUAUACCACAAAGAACGUAAAGUCGAUAAAGCAUGAUAUUUCAAAAGCGUGAAACCAAUUUACUCAUAAACGUUUCAUAAAGCAUAGCCAUUAAAUCAUGUUUUUCAUGUAUGCAUUUCUAAUAGUAAAAUCAUGCAUUUUAGAAGGGAUCCACUCACAGAUACUUUGCCGUCGAAUAGUCGUGCAAACUAGAGAGGACGGAAAUGCCAUAAACAUUUGCACCUAAGCAUAUAAAGGUACCAAUUAAUAAAACUAUACUAAAACGGUUCAAUUUUGGGAAAUGGAUGUUAUAAAUGGAUUCAAGACGUCGAAAAACAUGAGGGUGUACCAUGGUACCCCCACGUGCCGCCGCACGCUCCAUCAUGCGC
rnacentral:lncRNA from 1 species